AUCCAUUUCUAACGUGGUCUAGACGUCUGAUUGACUUCUUGCACCUGAUUUCUGAUUUUUAACUUUAAUACCGCACCUGAUUUCGACGGUAUCAAGACGUUGAUCAGACGUCUAGACCAGACCACAUCGGAAAAACUCAUUUUCGACAGCCAAUUUCGACCGAAAUUGCACGUCAUGUCAGGGUCCAAUUUGGAUGUCCACAAGACGUCAAAAUUGGAUGUCCGAAAAAGACGUCCAAAAAAACUUAAAUUCUGGACCUUCAGGAGACGUGAUUUCGACGUCGAAAAAUUACGUUAUAUAGAUGUCUCAUUGCGUAGUGGGUCAUCUCAGCUGAAAAACAGCAUGGAAAAGAGGAGGUAUGUAGCAGUGAGCACUAUUACUAAACAUUCCCUCCUGUGGGAGCUGUGAGGUGUU